rnacentral:rRNA from 1 species
AAGCUCGUAGUUGGAUCUUGGGUGGGUGUCGUCGGUCCGUCGCAAGGCGUGUUACUGGCGGCGCCUGCCUCGUCUUCGGUUCUUCGUCGGUGCUCUUGACUGAGUGUCGGCGGUGGCCGAAAAGUUUACUUUGAAAAAAUUAGAGUGUUCAAAGCAGGCUGCUCGCCUGCAUAGUGUUGCAUGGAAUAAUGGAAUAGGACCUCGGUUCUAUUUUGUUGGUUUUCGGAGCGCGAGGUAAUGAUUAAGAGGGACAGACGGGGGCGUCCGUACUCUGCCGUUAGAGGUGAAAUUCUUGGAUCGGCGGAAGACGAACUACUGCGAAAGCAUUCGCCAAGAAUGUUUUCUUUAAUCAAGAGCGAAAGUCAGAGGUUCGAAGACGAUCAGAUACCGUCCUAGUUCUGACUAUAAACGAUGCCAACUAGCGAUCGGGAGGCGUUACCAUGACGACCUUCCCGGCAGCUUCCGGGAAACCAAAGUCUUUGGGUUCUGGGGGAAGUAUGGUUGCAAAGCUGAAACUUAAAGGAAUUGACGGAAGGGCACCACCAGGAGUGGAGCCUGCGGCUUAAUUUGACUCAACACGGGGAAACUCACCCGGCCCGGACACAGGAAGGAUUGACAGAUUGAGAGCUCUUUCUUGAUUCUGUGGGUGGUGGUGCAUGGCCGUUCUUAGUUGGUGGAGCGAUUUGUCUGGUUAAUUCCGAUAACGAACGAGACUCUGGCAUGCUAAAUAGUUACGCGACCUUCUCGGUCGGCGUCUAACUUCUUAGAGGGACUAGUGGCGCUUAGCCACACGAGAUUGAGCAAUAACAGGUCUGUGAUGCCCUUAGAUGUUCGGGGCCGCACGCGCGCUACACUGAAUGAAGCAGCGAGUGUCUAACCUAGGCCGAAAGGUCCGGGUAACCCGUUGAACCCCAUUCGUGAUUGGGAUAG